rnacentral:lncRNA from 1 species
UUGUUUUCUCUGACCCACAGUACUGUAGAGGUGUCAAUGUGGUAGCUCUGAGGCCGCUUCAAGAGUGUUGCCUUUCCCUUUUGCCCUCUUAGAUCUGUGUUCUCUCCACAAAAUCAAGGCAGCUCUAAGCCACUGGAGGGUAAGAGAUCACGUGGAGAGAGCUGUCAGCCCAGCUGUCCCGGCCAAGCUGCAGACAAGUGUGAUGGGGGACUGGCUGCAAUCAACAAGACAACAGCUGACCCAUACCUUAUCCCAAGGACUUAACAUGGUCUUCAAGGCUCAUCAAACAAAGGGCACGCUCAUCUUGCACGAGGAAAAGAGGGCCGCUUCUGAUACAUCUGGUGAAUUCAUCUGUUGUCAGAGAAGGUGCAGCCAAGGGUCCAGAGGAAUGACCUUCUCUAGGCUCUUUCUGCAAACUGUCUGCGUUUUAUCAAUGGUCUUGACUUCAUAAAACAAAACAGCAUGAGAGGCAGUUAUCCAAGCGCGUGAGCUUCCAACUGUCAGGAUACAGACAGGCAAGAGUCCUGGAGGCAAGCAGCCUGUGACCUCAGACAUAGGAGGCCCUCAGAUUCAUUUGCUUCGGGUGUUGAAAUCAAGCAAGAAAGCAGUUACUGUUGAGUGUUAGUGCUAUUCCAACCUCAAUGAGAUUUUAUCUAUGGGGAGAAAGAUUAGGGGAGACCAAAUUUAUUGUCAUUCAGAGGAAGUAUUUAUAAACUUGGCAGAGUCUCAUGCGAGAGAGUAGAACAAAGGCUGCCAAACAGAUUCAUAAAUCGAAACGAAUGACCUGAAAGUAUUUUCCGCUGCAUACACGUGGUUCUAUAUGCACUGUGCCGCUCCAGCUCAGCACUGGAUUGCCCUGUGUGGUGCUGAUGUUGCUAUCUCCGUUGUAGGCAUGGGGUAGGGUGGGGAAGCUUGAAAUCGUACCAGCUAAAAUCAGGACAGAGCAGAAAGGAUGCUGUGAGGACAAGGCUGCUGUCAGUGUAGACUGUUCCUGAGCUGUUGCAGAGAAAAUAACAAGGGUAACGCUGGGGGAAAAACUGCAAGUGGGCUAGAUCUGACUGGGGAGAACAUAAAAGAAAGAAUAACAGCAUAAAAUAAAAGGAUGUGGUAGGAUGAUGAAGGAAAUUGACCUGCAAAGCAUAUGGGCCUGAUUUUGCUAAUAAAGUUUUAUUGGAAACAAUGAUGCUCAUUUGUUUACUGUUUGUUAAGCUUGUUUUCAUGAAAGACAAAGCUGCAUUCAUCGUAGCACAGACCAUAAAAACCACGAACCUAAAAAUAUUUACUAUCUAGCUCUUUAUAGAAACAAUUGAUAAGUUUUGGCUUUAACUAUGGUCCUUACACCUCUCUAUGCCCAUCGUGGGCAGCAGCUCUCUCCCAGGGUUUCUUUGAACUCUUGGCAAAGCCUUAUACUUCUCUACCUGGCAACUAUUUGUAUUUAUUUUGAAUGUACUCUGAUGCUUGCCAGUUUACUCUUGGAAAAGGAAGUAUAUUAAGC